UGGGGAAUUUUGGACAAUGGGCGCAAGCCUGAUCCAGCAAUGCCGCGUGAGUGAAGAAGGCCUUCGGGUUGUAAAGCUCUUUUAGUUGAAAAGAAAAAGUCGCGACUAAUAAUCGCGGCUCAUGACGGUAUCAACAGAAAAAGCACCGGCUAACUACGUGCCAGCAGCCGCGGUAAUACGUAGGGUGCAAGCGUUAAUCGGAAUUACUGGGCGUAAAGGGUGCGCAGGCGGUUUUGUAAGUCAGAUGUGAAAUCCCCGGGCUUAACCUGGGAAUUGCGUUUGAAACUGUAAAACUAGAGUGCGGCAGAGGGAGGUGGAAUUCCAUGUGUAGCAGUGAAAUGCGUAGAGAUAUGGAAGAACAUCGAUGGCGAAGGCAACCUCCUGGGCUAGCACUGACGCUCAUGCACGAAAGCGUGGGGAGCAAACAGG
rnacentral:rRNA from 1 species